rnacentral:rRNA from 1 species
GACGAACGCUGGCGGCGUGCCUAAUACAUGCAAGUAGAACGCUGAAGGAGGAGCUUGCUUCUCUGGAUGAGUUGCGAACGGGUGAGUAACGCGUAGGUAACCUGCCUGGUAGCGGGGGAUAACUAUUGGAAACGAUAGCUAAUACCGCAUAAUAGCAGUUAUUGCAUGAUAACUGUUUGAAAGGUGCAAUUGCACCACUACCAGAUGGACCUGCGUUGUAUUAGCUAGUUGGUGGGGUAACGGCUCACCAAGGCGACGAUACAUAGCCGACCUGAGAGGGGGAUCGGCCACACUGGGACUGAGACACGGCCCAGACUCCUACGGGAGGCAGCAGUAGGGAAUCUUCGGCAAUGGACGGAAGUCUGACCGAGCAACGCCGCGUGAGUGAAGAAGGUUUUCGGAUCGUAAAGCUCUGUUGUAAGAGAAGAACGAGUGUGAGAGUGGAAAGUUCACACUGUGACGGUAUCUUACCAGAAAGAGACGGCUAACUACGUG